GUUGAGCGCUACCAGGUGUGCUUGUCACAUGCUGGUCCGACGCAGGGAUGCCAGCUUGUUCUAGCCUGUAAUGUCUUACGGCGGAGCUACACACUUCAACACCUGCGGCGUGGUUUGGGAUAACAAAUGGAAACGUUUGCUAAUACCAAAUAACGUCGGAGAGUCACAUGACUUUCUGACGAAAGGAAUUCCGAUUCGAGAGGGUCUCGCGGCCUAUCAGCUUGUUGGCGGGGUAAUGGCCCACCAAGGCAACGACGGGUAGCUGGUCUGAGAGGAUGGUCAGCCACACUGGGACUGAGACACGGCCCAGACUCCUACGGGAGGCAGCAGUGGGGAAUCUUGCGCAAUGGGCGAAAGCCUGACGCAGCAACGCCGCGUGCGGGAAGAAGGCUUUCGGGCUGUAAACCGCUU
rnacentral:rRNA from 1 species